rnacentral:rRNA from 1 species
AUGAGGAAGAAGCAGAGCCUCCCAACCAACACCACAGACUCCACCACCCACAUCAGGUGGUACACCACCUGCUCGCAUAGCACGGCCAUCACGUUCACGCGCGGCCGCCACCUCAUAAGCAUCGACAGGAAGGAGCUCACCCGAGACUUCGAAUGCGCCGGUAGCGCACCGGCACCAUUUCUGCUCCCGCUCACGGCCGCAUUCCUAGACGUCGGUGCCGGUGCCCCGCCAGAGGCACUGCUGCAGCUCUCACAUGCCGCCUUGCUCGACAGUAUCGGUUCCGACGCCCCGCUGGUCUUGCUCUCUCGCUUGGCCGCCAGCUUCCUCGGCAUCUUACGCUUCCGUAUCCACUCGCCCACCUUCCCGCGCGCCAUCAAAUCUUAUCAAUCCAAGUUGAUCGAGUCAGAUGCUUCUUCUUCUUUGUUGCUUGUUUGCUACAGCUCUGUAACAGGAGGUGAAAUGAGCAACGACAUGAAGCAGUCAACCUUUCUCCCACUUACCAGAUUGGCCAACAAGAAGGCGCUGGUCCGGGACUUCGAGUGCGUACUGGUAUCGUUCCCACUCCCGCUAGGCGCCCCGCUGGAGCUGCUCCAGCUCUUAGGCGCCGCCUCGCUCGGCAGUAUGGGCUCGGACGCCCCGAUCUCCUUGCUCCGGCGCCUGGCCGCCCCGCUCUCCUUGCUCCGGCACCUGGCCGCCGACUUCCUCGGCGUCGUACGCUUCCCUCUGCACCGCAUGUCUGAAGUCCUCGUCUGGUCUCGCCUGAGCUGUAUAUGCGGGGACGCCAACGCGGUGGGCGAGCUGAUGAUGCACGGCAUUUUGUCGCCUAUUGGUAACCAGAUCAUCAAGCAUAGAGCUUCCAUUUACGCUGAUGAUGUUGUCAUUUUCUCCAAGCCUGACAACCAAGACAUUUCUUCUAUUGCUAGUGUUCUGGACUUAUUUGGUAGAGCCUCUGGUUUGGGCACCAACAUGGCCAAAAGUAAAAUUUUGCCUAUUAGGUGCGAAGGUAUUGACCUUACCAUCAUUCAAAACUCCCUUGGAUGCCAAAUUGAUUCUUUACCCUGCACCUACUUGGGUAUGCCACUUUCGGACAAGAGGCUCAAGAGAAUUUUCUUCCAAGGUUUGCUUGACAAGAUUGCCAAGAAGUUAGCCGCAUGGAAAGCUCGAUGGAUUACUUUGGCUGGUCGUACUGUUCUGGUCAGAUUCGUGCUCUCUGCAAUGCCUAUUUUUCAACUUAUUGCCGUUAAGCAGCCAAAAUGGUUUAUUAAACAAAUCGACAAGAUGAGAAGGGCCUUUCUUUGGGCCGGGUCAGAUUCAGUUAGUGGUGGAAAAUGCUUGAUCAAAUGGUCUCAAGUUUGCUCUCCUCUUGAGCUUGGUGGGCUACGUAUACCUGAUCUGAUUUGUCAAGGAAGGGCACUGAGAGUUAGGUGGCUCUGGCAGAACGCCACUGAUGGUGAUAAAUCUUGGCAUGGGUUAACACUGCCAGUGGACAAGGAGGUUAAGGCCAUUUUUGUGGCUAGUACUUCAAUCAAGAUUGGGAAUGGAAAAUCCUUCAGUUUUUGGCAUGACCAUUGGCUGCAUGGUGAGAUCCCCUCGGUUUCCUUCCCGUUAUUUUACAAGCAUUGUAAUAGGCGCCAGAUCACUGUCUCUGAAGCUCUGCACCGCAUGUCUGAAGUCCUCCUCGUCUGGUCUUGCCUGAGCUGUAUAUGCGGGGACGCCAACGCGGUGGGCGAGCUGAUGAUGCCGCCAGUCUGA